CUUCUAUAUUUAAAUAAAUUUAGGUAGUACUUCAUUUUCUAGAAAACCUAUGCAGUUUGGCGGCAUUUAAUCUUCUUAGAGGAACCUGUCUUUUAAUCGAUACCCCACGAUAAAUUUUACUUUUAUUUACAUCUUAUAUACCUCCAUCUUAAGGAUUAAUAAAUAAUAUUUUCCCCUUAAUAGAAUUCUAAUAAGUUAGGUAAAGGUGUAGACCAUAUAAAAGUUAAGGUGGGUUACUAUAAAUUUUAUUUAAGGAAUUAUUAUUAAAAAUAAUUAUGAAAAAGGAUUUAUUAGUAAUUGAAGAAUACUAUUCUUUUAUGAAAAUGAUAAACAAUGUGCA
rnacentral:rRNA from 1 species